GACAUAGGGUGCAAACGUUGUUCGGAAUUACUGGGCGUAAAGCGCGUGUAGGCGGCCCUGCAAGUCGGAUGUGAAAUCCCACGGCUCAACCGUGGAAGUGCAUUCGAAACUGCAGGGCUAGAGUCCUGGAGAGGAAGGUGGAAUGCUUGGUGUAGAGGUGAAAUUCGUAGAUAUCGAGAGGAACACCGGUGGCGAAGGCGGCCAACUGGACGAACACUGACGCUGAGACACGAAAGCGUGGGGAGCAAACAGG
rnacentral:rRNA from 1 species